rnacentral:rRNA from 1 species
AGAGUUUGAUCCUGGCUCAGGAUGAACGCUGGCGGCGUGCCUAACACAUGCAAGUCGAGCGAUCUCUUCGGAGAGAGCGGCGGACGGGUGAGUAACGCGUGGGUAACCUGCCCUGUACACACGGAUAACAUACCGAAAGGUAUACUAAUACGGGAUAACAUACGAAAGUCGCAUGGCUUUUGUAUCAAAGCUCCGGCGGUACAGGAUGGACCCGCGUCUGAUUAGCUAGUUGGUAAGGUAAUGGCUUACCAAGGCAACGAUCAGUAGCCGACCUGAGAG